CGGCCAUCACACGUUGAAACACAAGUUCUCCUACUAUCAUCGAAGUUAAGCAACGUCGAACCUAGUCAGUACUUAGAUGGGUGACCACUUAGGAAUACCAGGUGAUGUAAG